rnacentral:lncRNA from 1 species
AUCAUCACCUGCAUCAUGGCGGGCCUUAUCCGGCGCAUCAAAACCCACUUUAAGGUCUCGAGCAAAAAGCCUUUGGUUUUGUUCCUUCUCCGGGAACAAAUUGGCCUCCGGGCCUCCCUUCAUUUCAUCUACUGAAGGGAGGCGUGGGUCUCUUUAGGGCUUCAGAUGGAUGUGCUUUCUCCGCCAGUACGACACCCAACGGGCCUCCCUCCCUCCCUCACGUGAUAGAGCACACUAAAAGCUGAUGUGGGAGAGCAACACCGCGCCCUACGACGGCUCUAUGUUGGGGUGAAUUGAAGAUAUGGAUCGCCGGAUGUGGCUGCACAAUCCCUACACAAAAGUGCGUGUGUGUGUGUGUUCCAUCCGGGAGUGAUAAAAGGGCGGGACGACACAUUGAAGAGUGUGUGGCGCACGUAAUUCACCUGAUAAACGACACCGGUAUCUGUGAAGUGGACAUAACAGCAGAAUACAGAGCCCAAUUUAAAAGAUACACGAGAGGCGCUCGCUUUAUCGUCUUCUCGAGCCCGUUGCGUCCAAGUAGCCGCAGGGAGGAUUUGAAUGAUAUAAAUCCCCGUUGCCAGAAAAAGGAUUGGAGCUUUUCGGCUGACUUAAAGGUGUCGAACAGUCCGCCACGGCAGUAAUCCUGUAAUCUGGGCAGUCAGCAGCCCUGCAAAAGGUCCUUACUACGGUACGUAGGACUCACACACACACACACAGAGACUUCUUCAGAAACACUAACGUUAAGACUACAGCUGCCACCAGCAACACCAAACACCCACACCUCGUCUGUCGUCACAUCCCACCUCGCAUUGCUCCGCUUUCAGUCUUUUGUCCUCGGCUGAAAAAUUCCGCCGGGGACCGCUGCGAGAGCUCGGCAUCGAAAUCUGUUUGUUGGUGUUUUCUGCUGGACGCCGUUUCCUUUUUACAUUCUUUCACGUCGGGCUGCGCGCACCGAGUACGCAGUGUUUACACAGGUGGCGGACCAUCAUUAUGCGGGAUAAUGACGCGAUUAUCGCGAUGAUAAAACAUGUAAUCACGAACGAUAAGGCUGGAUUACAUACGUGCUUUUGUUUCCUUUAAAUCUCUCUCAUGUGUGGAGGAGUGCAAUGUGAAUCCAGCACGGGUGCCA